GACGUAGGGCGCGAGCGUUGUCCGGAUUUAUUGGGCGUAAAGAGCUCGUAGGCGGCUUGUCGCGUCGAAUGUGAAAACCUGCAGCUCAACUGCAGGCUUGCAUUCGAUACGGGCAGGCUCGAGUUCGGUAGGGGAGACUGGAAUUCCUGGUGUAGCGGUGAAAUGCGCAGAUAUCAAGUGGAACACCAGUGGCGAAGGCGAGUCUCUGGACAUUUCCUGACGCUGAGGCACGAAAGCCAGGGGAGCAAACGGG
rnacentral:rRNA from 1 species